rnacentral:rRNA from 1 species
AGAGUUUGAUCCUGGCUCAGAUUGAACGCUGGCGGAAUGCUUUACACAUGCAAGUCGAACGGCAGCACGGGAGCUUGCUCCUGGUGGCGAGUGGCGAACGGGUGAGUAAUGCGUCGGAACGUACCGAGUAAUGGGGGAUAACGCAGCGAAAGUUGUGCUAAUACCGCAUACGCCCUCCGGGGGAAAGCAGGGGAUCGCAAGACCUUGCGUUAUUCGAGCGGCCGACGUCUGAUUAGCUAGUUGGUGAGGUAAUGGCUCACCAAGGCGACGAUCAGUAGCGGGUCUGAGAGGAUGAUCCGCCACACUGGAACUGAGACACGGUCCAGACUCCUUCGGGAGGCAGCAGUGGGGAAUUUUGGACAAUGGGGGCAACCCUGAUCCAGCCAUUCCGCGUGAGUGAAGAAGGCCUUCGGGUUGUAAAGCUCUUUCAGCUGGAACGAAACGGUAGUCUCUAACAUAGGCUGCUAAUGACGGUACCAGCAGAAGAAGCACCGGCUAACUACGUGCCAGCAGCCGCGGUAAUACGUAGGGUGCGAGCGUUAAUCGGAAUUACUGGGCGUAAAGCGUGCGCAGGCGGAUUGUUAAGCAAGACGUGAAAUCCCCGGGCUUAACCUGGGAAUGGCGUUUUGAACUGGCAGUCUAGAGUGUGUCAGAGGGGGGUAGAAUUCCACGUGUAGCAGUGAAAUGCGUAGAGAUGUGGAGGAAUACCGAUGGCGAAGGCAGCCCCCUGGGAUAACACUGACGCUCAUGUACGAAAGCGUGGGUAGCAAACAGGAUUAGAUACCCUGGUAGUCCACGCCCUAAACGAUGUCAACUGGUUGUUGGGGGAGUGAAAUCCCUUAGUAACGAAGCUAACGCGCGAAGUUGACCGCCUGGGGAGUACGGUCGCAAGAUUAAAACUCAAAGGAAUUGACGGG